rnacentral:rRNA from 1 species
GAAACUGGGGAACUUUGAGUGCAGAAGAGGAGAGUGGAAUUUCCACGUGUAGCGGUGAAAUGCGUAGAGAUGUGGAGGAACACCAGUGGCGAAGGCGACUCUCUGGUCUGUAACUGACGCUGAGGAGCGAAAGCGUGGGGAGCGAACAGGAUUAGAUACCCUGGUAGUCCACGCCGUAAACGAUGAGUGCUAAGUGUUAGGGGGUUUCCGCCCCUUAGUGCUGCAGCUAACGCAUUAAGCACUCCGCCUGGGGAGUACGGUCGCAAGACUGAAACUCAAAGGAAUUGACGGGGGCCCGCACAAGCGGUGGAGCAUGUGGUUUAAUUCGAAGCAACGCGAAGAACCUUACCAGGUCUUGACAUCCUCUGACAAUCCUAGAGAUAGGACGUCCCCUUCGGGGGCAGAGUGACAGGUGGUGCAUGGUUGUCGUCAGCUCGUGUCGUGAGAUGUUGGGUUAAGUCCCGCAACGAGCGCAACCCUUGAUCUUAGUUGCCAGCAUUCAGUUGGGCACUCUAAGGUGACUGCCGGUGACAAACCGGAGGAAGGUGGGGAUGACGUCAAAUCAUCAUGCCCCUUAUGACCUGGGCUACACACGUGCUACAAUGGACAGAACAAAGGGCAGCGAAACCGCGAGGU